UUGGGCGGGGUCCCAGGCUAGGUGCUGGGUGAUGACCGGCGGGCGUUUACCGUUCGGAUCGGUACGCCGGAC
rnacentral:tRNA from 1 species